rnacentral:rRNA from 1 species
AACGCGCAGCAUUCUGUAGCAAUACAGGUAUGUGGGCGCGUGGCGAACGGGUGCGUAACACGUGGAUAACCUUCCUUCAGGUGGGGAAUAACCCAGUGAAAAUUGGGCUAAUACCGCAUAACAUCGCGAUGGCACAUGCUGUUGCGUUCAAAGGCGCAAGUCGCCAGAAGAGGGAUCCGCGGCCGAUUAGCUUGUUGGCGAGGUAAUGGCUCACCAAGGCAUUGAUCGGUAGCCGGACUGAGAGGUUGGCCGGCCACACUGGAACUGAGACACGGUCCAGACUCCUACGGGAGGCAGCAGUGGGGAAUCUUGCACAAUGGACGAAAGUCUGAUGCAGCAACGCCGCGUGGGGGAUGAAGCUUCUCGGAGUGUAAACCCCUUUCGACCCGGAAGAAAGCCCGCAAGGGUUUGACGGUACGGGUAUAAGAAGCCCCGGCUAACUACGUGCCAGCAGCCGCGGUAAAACGUAGGGGGCCAGCGUUGCUCGGAAUUACUGGGCGUAAAGGGUCCGUAGGCGGUGUGGCAAGUCGGUAGUGAAAUCUCUGGGCUUAACUCAGAGGCUGCUGCCGAAACUGCUGUGCUANAGUGCGAGAGAGGCGAGUGGAAUUGCGGGUGUAGCGGUGAAAUGCGUAGAUAUCCGCAGGAACAUCCGAGGCG